rnacentral:rRNA from 1 species
GAUGAACGCUGGCGGCGUGCCUAAUACAUGCAGGUCGGGCGAACAGAUGAGGAGCUUGCUCCUCUGACGUUAGCGGCGGACGGGUGAGUAACACGUGGAUAACCUACCUAUAAGACUGGGAUAACUUCGGGAAACCGGAGCUAAUACCGGAUAAUAUAUUGAACCGCAUGGUCCAAUAGUGAAAGACGGUUUUGCUGUCACUUAUAGAUGGAUCCGCGCCGCAUUAGCUAGUUGGUAAGGUAACGGCUUACCAAGGCAACGAUGCGUAGCCGACCUGAGAGGGUGAUCGGCCACACUGGAACUGAGACACGGUCCAGACUCCUACGGGAGGCAGCAGUAGGGAAUCUUCCGCAAUGGGCGAAAGCCUGACGGAGCAACGCCGCGUGAGUGAUGAAGGUCUUCGGAUCGUAAAACUCUGUUAUUAGGGAAGAACAAAUGUGUAAGUAACUAUGCACGUCUUGACGGUACCUAAUCAGAAAGCCACGGCUAACUACGUG